rnacentral:rRNA from 1 species
AACGAACGCUGGCGGCGUGGAUAAGACAUGCAAGUCGAACGGAAUCAAGUUUGUAGCAAUACAGACUUGGUUUAGUGGCGAACGGGUGCGUAACACGUGAGCAAUCUGCCGGGAAGUGGGGGAUAGCUCGCCGAAAGGCGAAUUAAUACCGCAUAUGGCCAGGGAGGACAUCCUCCUGACGCCAAAGUCGCAAGACGCUUCCUGAUGAGCUCGCGGCCUAUCAUCUAGUUGGUGAGGUAAUGGCUCACCAAGGCUAUGACGGGUAGCUGGUCUGAGAGGACGACCAGCCACACUGGAACUGAGACACGGUCCAGACACCUACGGGUGGCAGCAGUCGAGAAUUUUUCACAAUGGGGGAAACCCUGAUGGAGCGACGCCGCGUGGAGGAUGAAGGUCUUCGGAUUGUAAACUCCUGUCAUGCGGGAACAAGAAAGUGAUAGUACCGCAAGAGGAAGAGACGGCUAACUCUGUGCCAGCCGCCGCCGUAAUAC